UUGCAUAUGCAACGGAUAAGAUUGAGGUACUGUUACUCUAAUAUGGUUGGCUAUAAUGUGAUGAACAACAUUUACAUGCAUAAGCACAAAAACAUAUGCAUAUACAUGAAUCUGCAUCCAAACAUAGAUACAUAACUAUGUUCAUGUCGCACAUUUCAGGUGUUUCGGGACACCCAAAUAAAGCUGGAUUUAGGAGUUGGAUUUGUGUUCUUGAAUUUGUUUGCUUCAUGCUGAUUUAUUCCAUUACAUUCUAUAUCGUUUUCAUUUCUGUUUUUAGACUUUUCUGGAGGAGCUAUUUUCAAUUCUCCGUACAGUGCAUCUCUUGAGAGGACUGAGUGUUGGUCUAGGCAUAAACUACUCGUGUGUCGAACAAUGGAAUCCUAUUGCAGAAGAAGCUUUAUAUGUAGCUGGAAGAUUAAAAGAUAAGGAUCCCAAUGUACGUAAACAUGGCUUCUUAAGAUGAAUAUUUUGGAAAAAUUGAUGGGCAUUGUGACUAGUAGACCUAGACGAUUUGAAUGUUGUUACUUCUAUAAUUGAUGUACGCCCUCAACAAUAUUUUUGGUGGUGAGUGUUACACCAUUACUAUGUGUUUAGCUUUCUUUACUUAUCCUAUCUUACAUAAGUUUAGUUGUAGGACAUGUUGGGUAUUUUUACUUUUGUUACUAAUGGCAUUAUUGCAACUAUUGCAAAAUCACUUCAAAUAAAACAUAAGAGAUUGGGGGA